UACGAAGGGGGCUAGCGUUGUUCGGAAUUACUGGGCGUAAAGCGUGCGCAGGCGGUUUCCCAAGUCAGUGGUGAAAGCCCGGAGCUCAACUCCGGAACUGCCAUUGAAACUGUGAAGCUCGAGGACGAGUGAGGUGAGUGGAAUUCCCAGUGUAGAGGUGAAAUUCGUAGAUAUCGGGAGGAACACCUGUGGCGAAAGCGGCGCACUGGACCACAACUGACGCUGAGGCGCGAAAGCUAGGGGAGCAAACAGG
rnacentral:rRNA from 1 species